UUUUAAUGUUAGAUCAGUUUCGGUUUCAGUUGAGGUUGAGGAUCCGAUUGUGAUUUCUGGUUCCAUACCUACCAAUUAGUGGAGAUAAAAAGGCUCUGGAAGAGGUUGCCUAGAUUCAGAAUGCUUUCUUUCCUGCAUGACCCGAAGGGCGAAUUUCCAUAGAUCAGAGCUGACCUACGAACAAUAAUUGUUGAUGGAAAAGAAAUAGAUGGAGAAGAAGAUACCUCGAUGGUCUUACCAGAACUCGCUGACGGAGAAGGAAGGCUGGCAGCUGGUGAUGGUUGGUCAAGUUCAUCUGGUGCUGCACGAACCAACUCACUUUUCUGAGUGUAUCACUUCCCAAACAAAUGGUCAGAGUGGCCCAAGUCAUCACUAUCAUCACCACUCUGUGGUGCCACUGACGAAGAACAGGUCUUCCCAGGGGCACUACCGAGGGAAGAAGAGAGUCUCACAUCUGUACUGAGAUUAGGCAGUGCAUGAGGAGGAUCAUGCAGAAUACAGAGACUCAUCCUCCACGAAUGUAACAUGCCGAAAGAUAUGAAGUCGUACGAGGAUCAAAGCAUCGCCGGGGAAUACCCGAGUAAGAUGCAAAAUGCUAUAUGAACAGAACAAUGCGCCUUGGGAGAUAAUUGAUCUCGGAGUGAGUCUGGACACAAAGCACUUGCACCCUCAUGAAAAAUCUCCCAUGGAAUCUUGCCUUUAUGAUAGCAUCAGAUGGAGUUCUGUUGAUGACAUAUGCUGCUGCUGGCUUCAGCCCAUAAGUACUUAGGUACAUGCAUUUGAAGCAUUUGGCUAGAGCAGCAAUAGGUGCCUGUUUUUCUUUUCCUUUCUGCUACUCCAUUUUGUUUCGGUGUGUAAGCACAGUAUCGUAAAUGUAUAAUCUCAUUAGACGAGAUAAACCUCUUAAACUCAGUAGAGACAUAUUCACCUCCUGAAUCAGAUCUGAAGACCUUGAUCUUACAUUCAAACUUCUUUUCCACUUGCCACUUUAAAUUCCUUAAACCGAUUAAAAGCUUUAGAUUUGUGCCGUAGCAUACCUGGUACACCGAGAAUAAUCAUCUAUGAAGGUGACAUAAUAGCUGUACCCAGAGAGAGACUUGACAGGGGCUGGCCCCCUUCCAUCGGAAUGGAUCAAAUCCAGAGGAAAUAUUCUUUCUUUAUUAUUAUGUUCCAUGAAUUCAACAUCUUUGCCUUGUUGGCAGCUAGCUCCAGCAAAAAAAAAAAAUUCUAUUUUUCAUCUAAAAAAAAAGGCAAGAGUUGAUCAGCACCCGUAGAUCAAUUUGCAUGUCAAAAUCUGUGGUGCCAGAAGAAUGCCGACACAAACUUUCCUUAGAUUCUGGCUUUAGCAGCUGCUACUAAUGCAAAAACUUUUUCAUCCUCCAAGCCCACCUCCUGGUUGUAAUCGCUCCCCAUGCUUCUUCCCUCUAGCUAUCAUUCUGCCCGUCUUUAGGUCCCGGGUAAAUUCUUGCAUUUGAAAUCCUUGGUAACUUUACGUAAGGCAGAAGUUCUUUACUUUUGCAACCGGGAACUGAAAGUUUUCCAAGCGUGGUAGAAAUUGAUGCAGUUCCUAUAUGGGAGAUUGGGAGAGGGCUCUAUACGAGCGCCUGUGUAUACCAUGCAGUUACCUCUGUACGGAAUCAUACCUAGCUGGUUUUCAGGCUUGUCUGUGACAUGAUUGGAAGUAACGGCAAGGGGUUCCACAAUGGAUCUGAGGAGGAAUUCACAGGCAAGUUCAUGUGAAAGGCUUUCCUGCUGCCUUUUAUUUAGUGGAAAGCAGAAGCGGUGAUAGCAGUUAAGGGCAUCUUACGAGCGCCUUUCUUUCUUUGCCAGGAGAGGUGGCCCAAUCACUAAUAGAUCCGAGAUCUCUUUCUCCACAUUCUCUUCUCGAUGGGCGUGGUCUAGGCAUUUAGUAUCUUGGUCCAGGCGAAGGAUAAGUUCGGGUUUCGAAGGAUAGCACAUCAGUUUCCGAUCCUGGGGGCACCUUCCCUUGGUUGCGGGUUCGAUCAUUGAAUGCAGAGAGUUCCUUUACGACUAUAUGCACUGCCUUCACCAACAGAAGGGGUUGUGGAAGGGGGCCAACGACCCACUAAAUAGUAUCGGUCGACAUCUCCAAAUCCUUCUUACCCGGCAAGGGGAUUGACUCGUGCUUUAUAGGUGAGGGGAUCGCAAAAAAAAUAUGCUUUAAUAUUCAUUUAUGUUUGUUUCUUCGCUCCCCUGCCAGCUAUAUCGGUGAGUCAGCCAUUCGGGAAUAGAUCCCUCCCUCUGGACAAAGGGGCAUAGAAACGACUGAACCAAGCAUCUUUCCAUCAGCGGAAAGAUAGGAGUACUCCAGGGAUCGAGAUCUCUUUGCCGGCGGGUGGAAGCCGCUUUAUGUGUUUGGUCCACCACAUAAAGAAAGCCCCUCCCUUAUUUGUUUUAUCAGUGGGAUCGUUCUUGACUCGGGAAAGGACGCCUCUAUAUCGAGGCGAUCCUAAAGACCAGACCCCUGCUUCAUUCUCCC
rnacentral:misc_RNA from 1 species